rnacentral:rRNA from 1 species
UACGGAGGGUGCAAGCGUUUGUCCGGAAUCACUGGGCGUAAAGGGCGCGUAGGCGGCUCAUGAAGGCUGUGGUGAAAGUCCGGGGCUCAACCUCGGAUCGGCCGGUGGCGACUCGUGGGCUGGAGCACUGUAGAGGCGGGUGGAAUUCCGGGUGUAGCGGUGGAAUGCGUAGAGAUCCGGAAGAACACCGGUGGCGAAGGCGGCCUGCUGGGCAGUAGCUGACGCUGAGGCGCGAAAGCGUGGGGAGCAAACAGG